ensembl:lncRNA
UGUGCUGUUAUUAUAUGUUGUACGUCCUGGCACUUAAUCUACACACUUAUUCGGUGAUGUACGUAUUUGCACUUACUAUAUAGUACCCAACAUGUUAUGUCGUCUUAUCCUAGCUAUCUUUGUUGUAUACGGGGAAUGGGUUAACCCAGCGUUGGUUAGUGCUUGGCACCUGGUUAUAUGAACAUCCUUACUGCACCGACAGAGAUAUACCGAUCUUUCUCUUUGUUCUGAAAACUGGACUCAUUGUAGUUCGCUCUGGAGAAAAGCGUCGCAGUGUAGUUCUACACGACUCAACAAUUCAAAGUGACCACGUGAGUAGAGUAUUAUGGGAUGGCAUUCGGCUGUCUCUGAUCCUUAGUGCCACCGUACUGUUCCGCUCUGUGAGCCAGGUCCACCGGGCCACGCCCCCAUGGCCCCGUGGAGGGCGACGAGGACGAGCCCACUGGUGUCCGCCCUAAGCACCAGGGCGACAUCAGGACCCCGCCCAGCCCGUCCUGACGCUAUCGGUCUGUCACACCGCGGCCGUCCUGCUGACGCUAGUCCUGGGCUCUGCCGCGCUACCCCUGUGCCUGCGUCUACCCAAUCACAGCCGUCGCUGUGGGUCCUCUAAUUGACAGUUGAGUGUGAUUGGUUGAAUCCUAAUGACUCAAUUAUCCAGCAUAACUUUCACAUUACUUCCUUGCCGUAAUUGCCUUCAUGCAAUUAGUACCAAUUAGGAUCCGUCACCUCCAGCUCAGUCCUCAGAUUGUUUUGUCAGGUAAGCAUAUCACUGAACAUUGAACUAAUUGCGUAUCAAGCACUUCCCGGGCGAGGACCGAAACACCUCCGAUAUGCGGGUGCGUUACGCUACAGCUCUGAGCACCUCAGAGACCACGGCUCUACUGCCAAAACAACCAGCCUCUGGUGGCGGGGGAUCGCCUCACAUCGACGGACACUUCUGGGCUCUACCUAGCACCAGAUACUACCAUGUAGAUAGACCAGAGAGCAGGUAGAUAUUAACAUGUAGAAAGACCAGAGGACAGGUAGAUAUUAACAUGUACAUAGACUAGAGUGCUGGUAGAUAUUAACGUGUACAUAGACAAGGGGACAGGUAGAUAUAAACAUGUAGAUAGACCAGAGGACAAGUAGAUAUUAACAUGUCGAUAGACUAGAGAGCAGGUAGAUAUUAACAUGUAGAUAGACUAGAGAACAGGUAGAUAUUAACAUUUAGAUAGACUAGGGGACAGGUAGAUAGGUAGAUAUGAACAUGUAGAUAGACCAGAGGACAGGUAGAUAUGAACAUGUAGAUAGACCAGAGCAGAGGUAGAUAUUAACAUGAAGAUAGACUAGGUGACAGGUAGAUAUCGUCAUGCAGUAGACCAGAGUACAGGUAGAUAUUAACAUGUUUACCGGAGCACAUGGGAGAAUGCUUUUUAGUCCAUAACGACAGACUGGCCACCAGGUGAAGACGACCUCCUCACCAACACAUACUGGUGUCACAUCAACUCCUGAACCAACUGUUUGUAUAAUGGCUCAAGUCAUUUCACAACAAAGGCCUCCUGCUUCCUGCCGUUGGCUCGGUGGGCCGCUGGCUGACUGAAAGCAGCAGCGGGCUGGCUGACUUGGUAAUUAUUCACCAGUAGUUUUGAAGGGCAGCUCCUGUGCCUGUUGAAGCCAUUCUGAGCCAACCACGCUUAAUAGACUUGCCUGUAGAGCUAGCGGGCUGAAUAGCAUGCCGUGUGGAGAUUAUGAUGCUAGCUGACAGGACGGACGUCCCUACAACACGGAGAUCAACGGCACAACUAGAAGCAACAAACAGAGUAGGAGAGUGUAACUAAAUGGGCUGCGCCGCGCUGUCUAGCGUCACUACAGUAGCUAGCCUUGUGUAUCGUAGCCUAGUGUAGUGGAAUGUAGUUUUGUGUUCAUAUACAUAUAUAUAUGUAUAUAUAUAAAUCUAUAUAAAAAUCCCUAUCAUUAGGGGAGAUGAUUUCAC